AACAGGUCUUGCAAAAGCACCUUGGGAGGUAGUACUCCUAUGCUGUUCAAGACAUUGUCAGGGAACAAGUCAAGCCAGAAAGGAGCCAUCAUAGAGGCAUUCUGGGAGGGGUAGCCUUCCUGUUUCUUGUCGGAGAGGUAAAUGUUCUGAAGUUUAACAUUUAUCAGACUCAGUAUAUCAACCGUUUGUCAUGAAAUUCUCUUAUGGGGUAAUCAAGUAAACUAUCACAUGCCAAAUGUUCCUUUCAUGAGAACACUUCCCAAUACUAUGCCCCUAUUGCUCUG